rnacentral:rRNA from 1 species
UGCGCAGGCGGAUAUGUAAGUCAGUGGUGAAAUCUUUGGGCUUAACCCGAAAAUUGCCAUUGAUACUAUAUAUCUUGAAUGCUGUGGAGGUAAGCGGAAUAUGUCAUGUAGCGGUGAAAUGCUUAGAUAUGACAUAGAACACCUAUUGCGAAGGCAGCUUACUACGCAGAUAUUGACGCUCAUGCACGAAAGCGUGGGGAUCAAACAGGAUUAGAUACCCUGGUAGUCCACGCCCUAAACGAUGAUUACUCGACAUACGCGAUACACUGUGUGUGUCUGAGCGAAAGCAUUAAGUAAUCCACCUGGGAAGUACGACCGCAAGGUUGAA